GGCAAGGUGGCCGAGCGGUCUAAGGCGCCAGGUUCAGGUCCACCUGAAUUCAAUUUGAAUAUCUGUUCAACUUCCUGGUCUCAGAAAUGGGGCGCGAGUUCGAAUCUCGCCCUUGUCA
rnacentral:tRNA from 1 species